ACGCACGCUGGCGGCGUGCUUAACACAUGCAAGUCGAACGCUGAAGGCCUGGCUUUUGUUGGGUUGGAUGAGUGGCGAACGGGUGAGUAACACGUGAGUAACCUGCCCUCUUCUUUGGGAUAACGCCCGGAAACGGGUGCUAAUACUGGAUAUUCACUGAUCUUCGCAUGGGGGUUGGUGGAAAGGUUUGUUCUGGUGGGGGAUGGGCUCGCGGCCUAUCAGCUUGUUGGUGGGGUGAUGGCCUACCAAGGCUUUGACGGGUAGCCGGCCUGAGAGGGUGACCGGUCACAUUGGGACUGAGAUACGGCCCAGACUCCUACGGGAGGCAGCAGUGGGGAAUAUUGCACAAUGGGCGAAAGCCUGAUGCAGCGACGCCGCGUGAGGGAUGGAGGCCUUCGGGUUGUAAACCUCUUUCGCUCAUGGUCAAGCCGCAACUGUGGGUUGUGGUGAGGGUAGUGGGUAAAGAAGCGCCGGCUAACUACGUG
rnacentral:rRNA from 1 species